GACGAACGCUGGCGGCGUGCUUGACACAUGCAAGUCGAACGGAAAGGCCCCUUUGGGGGUACUCGAGUGGCGAACGGGUGAGUAACACGUGAGUAACCUGCCCUUGACUUCGGGAUAACUUCAGGAAACUGGGGCUAAUACCGGAUAGGAAUCCUUGCUGCAUGGUGGGGGUUGGAAAGCUUCGGCGGUUUUGGAUGGACUCGCGGCUUAUCAGCUUGUUGGUGGGGUAGUGGCUUACCAAGGCUUUGACGGGUAGCCGGCCUGAGAGGGCGACCGGCCACAUUGGGACUGAGAUACGGCCCAGACUCCUACGGGAGGCAGCAGUGGGGAAUAUUGCACAAUGGGCGGAAGCCUGAUGCAGCAACGCCGCGUGCGGGAUGACAGCCUUCGGGUUGUAAACCGCUUUCAGCAGGGGCGAAGCUUGUGGUGACGGUACCUGCAGAAGAAGCACCGGCUAACUACGUG
rnacentral:rRNA from 1 species